rnacentral:sRNA from 18 species
UGUAUCUGAAGUCUGACGAGGAUGAGAACCUCCGGGGGCAAGAGGUUCGACCCGAGCGAAGCGAGAGAACGUUGCGCCAGCAACGGCCCGCAGUGGCAAGUCAUCCUCUGUCACCGGCA